UACUGCAUCAGGAACUGAUUGGAUAAUGUACGGUCACCAUCAGUUCCCAAUGCAUUGCC
rnacentral:pre_miRNA from 1 species